CUAAAGAACACUACAAGAGUUGAUGUUGAUUGAACACUGCCCAUAUACCAGGCAGUGUUCCAAGUACCUGCAGGUCCACCUCUCUUGGACUAGGAGUGAGCUCUCUAAGACAGCUAUCUGUUGCACUUCUCCAGUGCCUCCUGUGAGACACCUGUCAGCAGCAUUAUGCAAUCCUGACUUGUACCAGCUCUGCCUUACCUACAAGUGUGAGUGCCACUUUCCAGCCAAGGGCUCAUUCUCUGCCCUAUGCACCUGUCCCUGAGCACCACCUGUGGGAAUGCAGAAAUGUUGUUGUUGCUAGGAUGGCUUCCUACUUUCCUUCCUUUUGAAAUAUGAAAGUUAAGAAACUGUUUCCUAUUUGCUUCCUCUCCCCAACUCAACCAUUUGCUGAUUCAUGCUUCUUUCUUCUUUCAGGACCCAAAAUUGCUGUCCAUCUCCCACCCUCUUAUUUCCCUCCUUCCUGCUUGAGCCUUCCUGCUGCAUACCUGAGACAGAUAAAGCUGGGAGCACCACAGGGAGAGACCAUGGAAAGCAACCGUCCAACCAGACUCCCAGUGAUCAGCGUCAUCAGCUGCCUGCACCGCUCCACUGGAACCAGACAUCUCACAAGAACCAUGAGCCCAAAGUCAGACCCCCUGCUGCUGCUCCUUUCUGCCCAUCCUGGAACCUGGCACCCAAUGCCUACCUCAGAAGACAGUCUCAGCCCAUGAGCCUCUGCAGCCCUGGCUCCAUGGGAAUGUGCCCAGCCCCACAUCUAUGCUGACUAAAUAUGGCUUCCUGAGCACAGACUGGAAAACUUGGGAAGUGACUUGCAGAUAUCAAAUGAAGACAACUGUUAUCCCACCCAGUUUGUGCAGCAAUAGAAGGUAUUGAGCAGAAUGUGGAAUAUGAGACCAGGUUCCCAUCUCCUCUGCAUCCAAAGAAACCGAUUGGUAGGGUGCAGUGAUUGCAAACAGUUGAACUGAAUGUCCUUAAGUCUGGCAGCGACUGCCUGCCAGAAACAGUUGAAGAAAUUUGGCAGAUGGAGGCCAGUCCAUAUGUUGAUACUCAAGGCCAAGGUGCCAAUGGCUAAGGUGCCAUUGGUGGAUUCUUUGGCCACACCAAGGCUGACUAGACUGCUAUGUCUUGCUUGUUUGCUCUUGAGGCACUGCAAAUGUUUUAACCAGUCUCAGUGGCCUGUAAGCCACUGCUCCAGCCAGCCAACAGGGACACGGAGGGUAGAAAGGCAGCCCAUGGCCAUUGAUGCCAGACUAUGUUCUGAUGUCACCAUCAGUUAAAGCAAAGACACCUGUUCUGGAGAGCACAUUCAGGGGAUGCUUGGAGAGCCAAGUCAUGACUUUCAGGAAACUGAGAUCCAAAACAAAAUUGAAUACUCAGUACUUUGCUCAUGUUCCCAUAGCCAAAGUCUUCUUCCUCCAGUCAAGCAGGAUAGGUGCUGGAUGCACCUCCCUAACAAUAGAGGGCAUGCACAUGUGUGUAAUGAGUGAUCCCUAAUUCUGCCACUCUCCCUUUCCCCAUAUUGCUUGAGGCUUCAUCUAUUCCCAGAAGCUAUAAGCAGCCAUGAGGCCCCUAAACUUUUUUCAACAUUCAUGGCAAUUAGUGCAGAUUUCAGAAUUAGAGAAAGGGGUACAACUGACAAGAGUAUGGAACUGGCAGGAGGCUUGACAUUAUCUAAAAUUUGGUCUUGUUUUGCUGCAAAGAAUGCCUCUGAGAUGGAAAUCUCUGAGGAAAGAUCAAUGCAGCAAUAGGACUAGCCUCAGAAUAUCAGACCAGAUGGCCAUUUCCACAAGGACUCUACUUGGUAUGUUCUGUUCUUUACUUUUUUUAAAAGUAAAAUGAAAAAUGUUUCUGAGAAUACCAUGAGUUCUACUUUGUGGGAUUCACAAGUCCCAGUAGUUGAUGAUUCCAUUUUUCAUGAACUUACACAUGUUGUGAAUUUGGGGUUUACUUAUUAGUUCUCGAGAGAAGCCUGCUUUCAUUGAGAUUUGCAUAGUGGAGUAAUUGCAUAUGGGGACUCAGUGCAGGCAGAACUCGUAAAGAGGGUGGGUUGUACUUGAGUCUGGGAAGAAGGCCCUGGGCCAGGCAGCUGCCAGACUAGAGUGUGCAGUGGGUUUCACAAACACAGGGCAGGGUAUGUGCAACACUAAGAGGGAAAUCCUCUGCUCUAAUUGUGUUUGGAGCAUUACUCCAUGGCUACUUUCCAUCAUGGAACUUAAGAAUCCAAUUAUAGUGUAGCAUUUUUUUAUAUCUCACACAAAUUUGAGUUCUUCAUAAUGAUCAUACAAAAUGCAUAUCAUAGUUGUGUGAAUGUGGCCUAAGAAUAAAGACACAAGUUGGAAUAUCUGCUUCCCA
rnacentral:lncRNA from 1 species